UACAGAGGUCUCAAGCGUUGUUCGGAUUCAUUGGGCGUAAAGGGUGCGUAGGCGGCGCGGUAAGUCGGGUGUGAAAUCUCGGAGCUUAACUCCGAAACUGCAUUCGAUACUGCCCGGCUAGAGGUAGGUAGGGGAGAUCGGAAUUCCUGGUGUAGCGGUGAAAUGCGCAGAUAUCAGGAGGAACACCGGUGGCGAAGGCGGAUCUCUGGGCCUUACCUGACGCUCAGGCGCGAAAGCUAGGGGAGCAAACGGG
rnacentral:rRNA from 1 species